GGGCUUCGCAGGCGGUUUUUUAAGUCUGAUGUGAAAGCCCCCCGGCUCAACCGGGGAGGGUCAUUGGAAACUGGGGAACUUGAGUGCAGAAGAGGAGAGUGGAAUUCCACGUGUAGCGGUGAAAUGCGUAGAGAUGUGGAGGAACACCAGUGGCGAAGGCGACUCUCUGGUCUGUAACUGACGCUGAGGAGCGAAAGCGUGGGGAGCGAACAGGAUUAGAUACCCUGGUAGUCCACGCCGUAAACGAUGAGUGCUAAGUGUUAGGGGGUUUCCGCCCCUUAGUGCUGCAGCUAACGCAUUAAGCACUCCGCCUGGGGAGUACGGUCGCAAGACUGAAACUCAAAGGAAUUGACGGGGGCCCGCACAAGCGGUGGAGCAUGUGGUUUAAUUCGAAGCAACGCGAAGAACCUUACCAGGUCUUGACAUCCUCUGACAAUCCUAGAGAUAGGACGUCCCCUUCGGGGGCAGAGUGACAGGUGGUGCAUGGUUGUCGUCAGCUCGUGUCGUGAGAUGUUGGGUUAAGUCCCGCAACGAGCGCAACCCUUGAUCUUAGUUGCCAGCAUUCAGUUGGGCACUCUAAGGUGACUGCCGGUGACAAACCGGAGGAAGGUGGGGAUGACGUCAAAUCAUCAUGCCCCUUAUGACCUGGGCUACACACGUGCUACAAUGGACAGAACAAAGGGCAGCGAAACCGCGAGGUUAAGCCAAUCCCACAAAUCUGUUCUCAGUUCGGAUCGCAGUCUGCAACUCGACUGCGUGAAGCUGGAAUCGCUAGUAAUCGCGGAUC
rnacentral:rRNA from 1 species